rnacentral:lncRNA from 1 species
ACAGAAGUGUAUCUUGGAUCAAGGCCCUUUUGCUUCUGCUGAUCCUCGUUGUACUUGGUCGAUAACCAUUCAAAACUGUCAACGCUCUGGAUUUGAACGGUAGCUUUUCCCGGAGGAUUCAUCAAGAACCACAUCGACAUGGCUGGCAGGUUAAGAGAAUCCGUCACUAUAUGAAAGACAAUUUUCUCUGGAUCCUGCCAAGUACAUAAACAUUUACGUUCAAUUAGGAUGUAAAGCACAUGAAGGAAUACGGCAAAAAAAAGGGCAGCCCGGUGCACUAAAGCUACCGCUAUGCGUGGUGUCCGGGGAAGGGCCACCACAAGGGUGUAUCAUACGCAGCCGUACCUUGCAUUUUUGCCAGAGGUUGUUUCCAAGGCUUGAACCCGUGACCUCCUGGUCACAUGGCAGCAACUUUACCAGUUACUCCAAGGCUCCCCUUCCCAUGAAGGAAUACGGAUUUAACAAAAAAAAGGUGAACCCAAAACGAGGGGAAAAAACACGGAGCAUCAUACCCUAGCGGUUGAAACGGUUGAAUUGACAACCACGGAACAUGCCAAAACAUUGUCUGAGAAAACAGCAAAGUGAUAUAGAUCAGGAUCCUGCAGUUUGUUUUGGUUAGGAAGCUCCCGUUCCUCAGGCUGCAGCGCGAAAUAUUCAGCAGUCAACCGCAUGGAAAGGCAGUGAAGGCCUUUUGGUGUAGUUCUUGCAGCGAGCUGUACGAGGAAGGAAGUAUGAUCCCUUUGUGAUCGAAGCUGUUCUUCAGCAUUAUACGUCAUGGCACGUAGUGUAUUCACCAUAGCUGAGCAAUCUGGAUAUAUUCUGCUUGCUCUCAGCAGGGUCCCCUCCAUCGCUUUCAUCUUUUGCAUGGCCCUGGAACGCUAGCCGCUCUUAGAUUAUACAUACAACGUAUUAACCAUUCAAAAACAGCAUUCAGUUUCCGAUUUUAAACAAUUAUCGGCAAUACAAACCAAUUCAUAUCGAAUAUCCUCAAGUCAAUAUCAAGUACACAUUCUUGUGUCUUGAAAGACGGUAGCUCAACGACUUAUAUGCCAAUUCUACUCUAAAUAAAUCAUCAUCUGUCUCAGAGUAGAGCAAUCUCAAUAAUACUGUACAGAUCAUAACACGACAAAUCCACUACUCACAUGAUUAGUGGCGGAGCCAGAAUUUUCACCAAAGAAGUUCAAAAUCGAAAAAAUGUAGGCACACGAACUAGCCGAAAGGGGUUCAACAUCAAUUAUAUAUACAUAAAAAAUAUUUUUCACUAUAUAGAAAUAAUAUAAUUUUCCGUCGAAGGGGGUUAGGUGGCUCCACUACUGCACAUGAAACAGAUUUUAUGAUGCUGAGUAGCAAUUGACACAUUAGAUGAGCAAGGUUCUGUAAAUGCGUUGUUUAAGCUUUAUAUUUAACAAACGAAGCAACAUGUUAUAGCAUUAGGUGUAUCGGGGGGUGGGGGUGUCCUCGUUGUACUUGGUCGAUAACCAUUCAAAACUGUCAACGCUCUGGAUUUGAACGGUAGCUUUUCCCGGAGGAUUCAUCAAGAACCACAUCGACAUGGCUGGCAGGUUAAGAGAAUCCGUCACUAUAUGAAAGACAAUUUUCUCUGGAUCCUGCCAAGUACAUAAACAUUUACGUUCAAUUAGGAUGUAAAGCACAUGAAGGAAUACGGCAAAAAAAAGGGCAGCCCGGUGCACUAAAGCUACCGCUAUGCGUGGUGUCCGGGGAAGGGCCACCACAAGGGUGUAUCAUACGCAGCCGUACCUUGCAUUUUUGCCAGAGGUUGUUUCCAAGGCUUGAACCCGUGACCUCCUGGUCACAUGGCAGCAACUUUACCAGUUACUCCAAGGCUCCCCUUCCCAUGAAGGAAUACGGAUUUAACAAAAAAAAGGUGAACCCAAAACGAGGGGAAAAAACACGGAGCAUC